CUUUCCCCCUUUCUUCAUGCCUUACACAUGCAAGUCGAACGGCAGCACGGGUGCUUGCACCUGGUGGCGAGUGGCGAACGGGUGAGUAAUACAUCGGAACAUGUCCUGUAGUGGGGGAUAGCCCGGCGAAAGCCGGAUUAAUACCGCAUACGAUCUACGGAUGAAAGCGGGGGACCUUCGGGCCUCGCGCUAUAGGGUUGGCCGAUGGCUGAUUAGCUAGUUGGUGGGGUAAAGGCCUACCAAGGCGACGAUCAGUAGCUGGUCUGAGAGGACGACCAGCCACACUGGGACUGAGACACGGCCCAGACUCCUACGGGAGGCAGCAGUGGGGAAUUUUGGACAAUGGGCGAAAGCCUGAUCCAGCAAUGCCGCGUGUGUGAAGAAGGCCUUCGGGUUGUAAAGCACUUUUGUCCGGAAAGAAAUCCUUGGCCCUAAUACGGUCGGGGGAUGACGGUACCGGAAGAAUAAGCACCGGCUAACUACGUG
rnacentral:rRNA from 1 species